rnacentral:rRNA from 1 species
AUUGAACGCUGGCGGCAGGCCUAACACAUGCAAGUCGAGCGGAUGAAGGGAGCUUGCUCCUGGAUUGAGCGGCGGACGGGUGAGUAAUGCCUAGGAAUCUGCCUGGUAGUGGGGGAUAACGUCCGGAAACGGGCGCUAAUACCGCAUACGUCCUGAGGGAGAAAGUGGGGGAUCUUCGGACCUCACGCUAUCAGAUGAGCCUAGGUCGGAUUAGCUAGUUGGUGGGGUAAAGGCCUACCAAGGCGACGAUCCGUAACUGGUCUGAGAGGAUGAUCAGUCAACAUGGAAAUGAGAAAAGGUCCCGACUCCCAAGGGAGGGAGGAGGUGGGAAUAUUUGACCAAUGGCGAAAGCCUGAUCCAGCCAUGGCGCGUGGGGGAAGGAGGGCUUCGGAAUUGAAAGCACCUUUAGGUGGGAGGAAGGGCAGUAAGUUAAAACCUUGCUGUUUUUAAGGUACCAACAGAAUAAGCACCGGCUAACUUCGUG